UGUCCAAUGCGGGAAUCGAACCCGGGUCCUAGUGGUCGAAAACCAAACGGUUUAACCAGCCUUCUAAUCUAAUAAAUAGC